GACGAACCAUGCAAACGUUAUUCGGAAUCACUGGGCUUAAAGCGUGCGUAGGCGGUUCAGAAAGUUAGGUGUGAAAUGCCUCGGCUCAACCGAGGAAUUGCGCCCAAAAACUACUGGGCUUGAGGGAGUUAGAGGUGAGCGGAACUCACGGUGGAGUGGUGAAAUGCGUUGAUAUCGUGAGGAACACCGGAGGCGAAAGCGGCUCACUGGGGCUUCACUGACGCUGAGGCACGAAAGCUAGGGGAGCAAACGGG
rnacentral:rRNA from 1 species